rnacentral:tRNA from 1 species
GGCUUUAUAGUCAAUAAUGAUAUUAGACUGCAAUUCUAAAGGAGUAAUAUUUGUUACUAAGGCUU